UCCUACGGGAGGCAGCAGUGGGGAAUAUUGCACAAUGGGGGAAACCCUGAUGCAGCAACGCCGCGUGAGUGAUGAAGGUCUUCGGAUUGUAAAACUCUGUCUUUGGGGACGAUAAUGACGGUACCCGAGGAGGAAGCCACGGCUAACUACGUGCCAGCAGCCGCGGUAAU
rnacentral:rRNA from 1 species